GACGAACGCUGGCGGCGUGCUUAACACAUGCAAGUCGAGCGGUAAGGCCCUUUCGGGGGUACACGAGCGGCGAACGGGUGAGUAACACGUGGGUGACCUGCCCUCAGCUCUGGGAUAAGCCUGGGAAACCGGGUCUAAUACUGGAUAUGACUCCAUGACGCAUGUUGUGGGGUGGAAAGCCUUGUGCGGCUGAGGAUGGGCCCGCGGCCUAUCAGCUUGUUGGUGGGGUGAGGCCUACCAAGGCGACGACGGGUAGCCGGCCUGAGAGGGCGACCGGCCGACACUGGGACUGAGACACGGCCCAGACUCCUACGGGAGGCAGCAGUGGGGAAUCUUGCGCAAUGGGCGAAAGCCUGACGCAGGCGACGCCGCGUGAGGGAUGACGGCCUC
rnacentral:rRNA from 1 species